rnacentral:rRNA from 1 species
UUUUCCUCCAGCGCGGGAAGACUGCAGUCGAGCGGGAUCUCCUUUGGUAGCAAUACCGAAGGAAGUCUAGCGGCGAACGGGUGCGUAACACGUGGACAAUCUGCCUUAAAGUGGGGGAUAGCUCGGCGAAAGCCGAAUUAAUACCGCAUGUGAUCAGCCAAGACAUCUUGGCGAAAUUAAAGUCGGGGCAACCUGACGCUUUUUGUGGAGUCCGCGGCCUAUCAGCUUGUUGGUGAGGUAACGGCUCACCAAGGCUUUGACGGGUAGCUGGUCUGAGAGGACGACCAGCCACACUGGAACUGAGACACGGUCCAGACACCUACGGGUGGCAGCAGUCGAGAAUUUUUCUCAAUGGGGGAAACCCUGAAGGAGCGACGCCGCGUGGAGGAUGAAGGUCUUCGGGUUGUAAACUCCUGUCAUUUGGGAACAAGUGCCAUACGUUAACUGCGUGUGGCUUGAUAGUACCAGAAGAGGAAGAGACGGCUAACUCUGUGCCAGCAGCCGCGGUAAUACAGAGGUCUCAAGCGUUGUUCGGAUUCAUUGGGCGUAAAGGGUGCGUAGGUGGCGCCGUAAGUCAGGUGUGAAAUCUCGGGGCUUAACUCCGAAACUGCAUUUGAUACUGCGGUGCUUGAGGACUGGAGAGGAGACUGGAAUUUACGGUGUAGCAGUGAAAUGCGUAGAGAUCGUAAGGAAGACCAGUGGCGAAGGCGGGUCUCUGGACAGUUCCUGACACUGAGGCACGAAGGCCAGGGGAGCAAACGGGAUUAGAUACCCCGGUAGUCCUGGCAGUAAACGGUGCACGUUUGGUGUGGGGGGAUUCGACCCCUUCUGCGCCGGAGCUAACGCGUUAAACG